CUUUCUUUAGCUUGCCCAUGGUGAUGUGAAGAUGAGAAGAAAUAGCAAGGCCCAACCAGUUCUUCAUCUGGAGACAGUUCAACGUUCUGCAAACCAGAUCUUCAGGAAUUUUACUGGGAUAAUUAUCCAAAUAAAUUGCAAGCAUUCUAUCCAAAUGGAGCUCUUUCUGAGAUGAAGAGAAUUCUCAAUGUCAAGAUUUGAACAAGAAGAGAAUGGAAUACACAAUAUGGACAUCCAUAAAAAUUCAUCAGAGAGCAUUUUACUACUGAGCUGCAAAGGGAAAAACUUAAAAUGGAUAUGAAAAGUGAAGAAAGUGAUCAUAGGAGAAAACCAUUUCAGGUGUCUGAUGAUUUGUGAGCCUCAAGUGACUACUCUGUGGAAUCAUCUGUCCUUGCCUUUGAAUUAGCUUUCCCUAGGCCAUGAGUCAACAUUAGUAGUUUAUACAUCCAAAUUGAUGACAAGAGCACCUCAAAGGCAGCAGCCUCAAGGAGCAGCCAUGGCCCCAGACUUGUCGCACGGAUGCAGAAAACUUAAUGGAGGAGGCUGAGGUCAGAAUGGGAAGAGUUUUUAAAAAAUAAA
rnacentral:lncRNA from 1 species